rnacentral:rRNA from 1 species
UACGGAGGAUCCAAGCGUUAUCCGGAAUCAUUGGGUUAAAGGGUCCGUAGGCGGUUUUGUAAGUCAGUGGUGAAAGCCCGUCGCUCAACGGCGGAACGGCCAUUGAUACUGCAAGACUUGAAUUAUUGGGAAGCAACUAGAAUAUGUAGUGUAGCGGUGAAAUGCUUAGAGAUUACAUGGAAUACCAAUUGCGAAGGCAGGUUGCUACCAAUACAUUGACGCUGAUGGACGAAAGCGUGGGGAGCGAACAGG